rnacentral:ncRNA from 1 species
UGCGUUGAGGCGAAGCAGUUGACUGGACAUCUAGGGGUAAAGCACUAUUUCGGGCCGGGCCGCGAGAGCAGUACCAAAUCGAGGCAAACUCUGAAUACUAUAUAUGACCCCAAAAUCACAGGGGUCAAGGUCGGCCAGUGAGACGAUGGGGGAUAAGCUCCACCGUCGAGAGGGAAACAGCCC